rnacentral:lncRNA from 1 species
AAUUGAAACCUGAGCGGUGGCGCGGCCAGCUGUGGGUGGAGUCACCCCGCGGACUGGACGGGAACCUGGCGGGGUCAGGUCCCGUCAAGCAGCCUGGCUCAUGGCUGUGUGCGGCCUGGGGAGCCGUCUUGGCCUGGGGAGCCGUCUUGGCCUGCGCGGGUGCUUCGGCGCCGCCAGGCUCCUGUAUCCCCGUUUCCAGAGCCGCGGCCCUCAGGGCGUGGAAGACGGGGACAGGCCACAGCCUUCCUCGAAGACACCCAGGAUCCCCAAGAUUUACACCAAAACGGGAGACAAAGGGUUUUCUAGUACCUUCACAGGAGAAAGGAGACCCAAAGAUGACCAAGUGUUUGAAGCCGUGGGAACUACAGAUGAAUUAAGUUCAGCUAUUGGGUAAGGGGGACAGGAUUGGCCUUGAGGUUGCGUUUGAGUCGAGUAUGAGUAAACGUAAUGAAUGUGAAGCUCUCACGCAUGCUGGGCAGCAGCCUCGGAGGUUGUCAGCCCUUAUUGAACUUUCCUCAGCCCUGAAGCACAGGCUGGUCAGCUCCACAAGGCUGUGGGGCUGCAGACUCCUUUCCCUUCUGGCCCUGCCUGUGCCUGCGCUGGCCUCUGGCCCAUGCCAUGUGAAGCUGCCUCCCUCUCAUCCCUCACUUUUCAGGUG